GAUGAACGCUGGCGGCGUGCCUAAUACAUGCAAGUCGAGCGAACGGACGAGAAGCUUGCUUUUCUGAUGUUAGCGGCGGACGGGUGAGUAACACGUGGAUAACCUACCUAUAAGACUGGGAUAACUUCGAGAAACCGGAGCUAAUACCGGAUAAUAUUUUGAACCGCAUGGUUCAAAAGUGAAAGACGGUCUUGCUGUCACUUAUAGAUGGAUCCGCGCUGCAUUAGCUAGUUGGUAAGGUAACGGCUUACCAAGGCAACGAUGCAUAGCCGACCUGAGAGGGUGAUCGGCCACACUGGAACUGAGACACGGUCCAGACUCCUACGGGAGGCAGCAGUAGGGAAUCUUCCGCAAUGGGCGAAAGCCUGACGGAGCAACGCCGCGUGAGUGAUGAAGGUCUUCGGAUCGUAAAACUCUGUUAUUAGGGAAGAACAUAUGUGUAAGUAACUGUGCACAUCUUGACGGUACCUAAUCAGAAAGCCACGGCUAACUACGUGCCAGCAGCCGCGGUAAUACGUAGGUGGCAAGCGUUAUCCGGAAUUAUUGGGCGUAAAGCGCGCGUAGGCGGUUUUUUAAGUCUGAUGUGAAAGCCCACGGCUCAACCGUGGAGGGUCAUUGGAAACUGGAAAACUUGAGUGCAGAAGAGGAAAGUGGAAUUCCAUGUGUAGCGGUGAAAUGCGCAGAGAUGUGGAGGAACACCAGUGGCGAAGGCGACUUUCUGGUCUGUAACUGACGCUGAUGUGCGAAAGCGUGGGGAUCAAACAGGAUUAGAUACCCUGGUAGUCCACGCCGUAAACGAUGAGUGCUAAGUGUUAGGGGGUUUCCGCCCCUUAGUGCUGCAGCUAACGCAUUAAGCACUCCGCCUGGGGAGUACGACCGCAAGGUUGAAACUCAAAGGAAUUGACGGGGGCCCGCACAAGCGGUGGAGCAUGUGGUUUAAUUCGAAGCAACGCGAAGAACCUUACCAAAUCUUGACAUCCUUUGACAACUCUAGAGAUAGAGCCUUCCCCUUCGGGGGACAAAGUGACAGGUGGUGCAUGGUUGUCGUCAGCUCGUGUCGUGAGAUGUUGGGUUAAGUCCCGCAACGAGCGCAACCCUUAAGCUUAGUUGCCAUCAUUAAGUUGGGCACUCUAAGUUGACUGCCGGUGACAAACCGGAGGAAGGUGGGGAUGACGUCAAAUCAUCAUGCCCCUUAUGAUUUGGGCUACACACGUGCUACAAUGGACAAUACAAAGGGCAGCGAAACCGCGAGGUCAAGCAAAUCCCAUAAAGUUGUUCUCAGUUCGGAUUGUAGUCUGCAACUCGACUACAUGAAGCUGGAAUCGCUAGUAAUCGUAGAUCAGCAUGCUACGGUGAAUACGUUCCCGGGUCU
rnacentral:rRNA from 1 species